CACGUAGGGCGCAAGCGUUGUCCGGAAUUAUUGGGCGUAAAGGGCUCGUAGGCGGUUUGUCGCGUCGGGAGUGAAAUCCACUGGCUUAACUGGUGGCUUGCUUUCGAUACGGGCAGACUGGAGGUAUGCAGGGGAGAACGGAAUUCCUGGUGUAGCGGUGAAAUGCGCAGAUAUCAGGAGGAACACCGGUGGCGAAGGCGGUUCUCUGGGCAUGUCCUGACGCUGAGGAGCGAAAGUGUGGGAGCGAACAGG
rnacentral:rRNA from 1 species